UGUCAUAAAUAGCUGUUAUUAUUUUGAGAUACUUUCCAUCAACACUGAAUUUAGUCAUGCAGUUUAAUAGGCAAGAAAGAAGGAAGAGCUCCCCAUACUGAGAUAGAGGGAGGGGGGUUCCAAAGCCGAAAGAGGAAACCCAGAGUGCUGUGGAUACCAAUGAGUUAUAUGAAGAAACUGGAAGCGGUGGUGUCUGAUUUGCAUAGGGUUCAGGGGAUUGGUUUGACCAGGCAUGUCAUUUAUGUAGCCCACGAAAAAACUGGCCCUCCCACCCUAUCCUUUGAAUAGGCACUUUCCAGGCACCCUGAUUUCCUAAACACAUGGGGAUAUGUGGGGAUGGCUAUAUUGCCAGGCACAGGUGGGGGCAAGGGCCAGAAAAGGGCGGGAAUCACUAUGUUUGGCUGGAUUCAGUUUCUAAUGGCCGGAAUUUGCAGAUCAAAGUUACCGGAGAACUCUAAAAGCCGGGCUUUCCUGCUAGACAAGACCCAUUUCUGGAGCUGCUUAAAAAGAAACAAAACUUCCUAUGGACCCCUUUUUCUCCCUGCCUGCCUAAAAUAACUUCUUAAGGACUCCUAUGACACCUGAAUUCAGCCCCCUUCCUGGGGGAAUGUACCAACGGAACUCCCACCUUUCCGGGUUUCUCAAGGCUGGAUUGUGUAAACCUCCUGGGUCUGAGUCUGUCUGAGCGACUGCUCUGCCAACACUCCACACAGCCCUGUGUACUAGACCCAAGGCCCCUGUGACGUCAGGUCAGGAGAGAAUCUCCAGAUUCCUUGCAAAGAUCCAUGGGAAAAACAUGGCUUCUGGGGCGGGGUCACACACUCACUGCUUCCCUUGGCUGUGUGAGAAAGUUCCUUUGGCUCUGUUCUGAUAUGGCAUGGUUCAUCACCCACCCCCGUUUUCUUUGUUCUCCUGAGUCAAGUUGUUUGCCUAGUCAGUCCCAAUGUGAGAACCUGAAUAUUUCAGUUCAGGCGCUUACGGUGAAAUUCGCUGCGAUUUUCAUUUGGGGGAAGGCAGCCGCUUCUUAUUGGCCAUCUUGGCCACCCCCUCCAUGGCACCGUCUGCAAAAAGACCACUUCUAAUUGGCCAUCUCGGCCACUUCCUCCACGUCACCUACAAAAUGGCCACUUCUAAUUGGCCAUCUUGGCCCCCCCCUUCCACCUCACCUUCUGUAAAAUGGCCCCACUCUCCAGGAAUGACGCCAUUAUAUAUCUUUACCUGAACCCAACAGAAGCUUAUUACACUUUUCAUGGGCUCAUUUACUUCACGUAUAAGGAAAAGGGCCAUGAAAGUGGUCGAUUUUCUGAUGGAUGUGAUAAAAAAAUGGUUUGCUGACCCAUUAGGGACAUAUGUCUCAAAACUAGUAACGAGACUCUCAAUCGCUGGGUUGACGCUUCUAAUCAAGAUGAUGCUCUCCUAUGUGUUCAACAAAACAGCUUCCCUUGCUUCUGAAACACUUCCAAACAUCAUCUUACAUUUCCUGAAGAAGAUGAUGCAUCGACCAGUGGCACAGGAUGAAGAGGGUGAUCCGGAAGAGUCUUUUGAACUACUUGGCUGCGGUGUUUAAACAACCACCAGGAAAUUUUGAUGACCGUUCUCUCCGGAGCUCCUGUCUUUCCCCAGAGAAACAAAAGCAUCGAAACUACAAAAAUAAAGUGUUAUUUGGCUGGAAUGAGGUCUCAUGGUUGUUUAUGCGGUGGCUCGCUGCUCAAGACAGGGAAAUAGAAGUCAUCAAGAUGAACAGAAAGCAGAUGUCAGCAGCCCUCAUAUAAAGUCAUCAUACUUCAUCCAGUUAAAACCUGAGACAGUUCUCACACAAGAAGGCCUAACUCAAAGAGACUGGGUUCUCAUGAGGCAGGUUCAUGCAAAACCAAGGGAAGCUUACAACUUUGGGAUUCUCCAGUUUCCCUUGGAAAAGACCUACAAUCAUUUGCUUAAGUAAAUGAGCACUGGACAAAGUCAAGAAGAUACUGGUAUGUGUACUAAGGAAAACAGCUUCAUUGACAUGCAACCUGUUGUACAUGAGGAAGCAUUCUAAAGAUGACAUACAUUUCUUCAAAAAGAUUAUGGGACACCAACCAAAACAAGAACCAUUGGAGAUGCUCGUUACUCUUUGAAGGCUUACAGCGGAAUGAAUUCAAAUACGACUUAUUUGAGGAAUUGAAGUUGACUUUAUGGAGCUGAUAAGAAUCUUCUUGGAAAAAAAAGAC